rnacentral:rRNA from 1 species
GUACCUACGGGAGGCAGCAGUGGGGAAUAUUGCACAAUGGGCGAAAGCCUGAUGCAGCAACGCCGCGUGAAGGAAGAAGGCCUUCGGGUCGUAAACUUCUGUCCUUGGGGAAGAAGAACUGACGGUACCCAAGGAGGAAGCCCCGGCUAACUACGUGCCAGCAGCCGCGGUAAUACGGAGGAUGCGAGCGUUAUCCGGAUUUAUUGGGUUUAAAGGGUGCGUAGGCGGUCCGUUAAGUCAGCGGUAAAAUUGCGGGGCUCAACCCCGUCGAGCCGUUGAAACUGGCAGACUUGAGUUGGCGAGAA